CCGUAGGUGAACCUGCGGAAGGAUCAUUAAUGAUGCCCUCGAUGCCUUUACCGGCUGGUAGGGUUGUGUCAGUCUCUUUGGAGCUGGCCUUAUCUCACACACCGUGAACUGUGGCUUCGGCCAUUUACACAAACUGUUAGUAAUGAAUGUAACAUCAUAACAAACAUAAAACUUUUAACAACGGAUCUCUUGGCUCUCGCAUCGAUGAAGAACGCAGCGAAAUGCGAUAAGUAAUGUGAAUUGCAGAAUUCAGUGAAUCAUCGAAUCUUUGAACGCACCUUGCGCCCUUUGGUAUUCCGAAGGGCAUGCCUGUUUGAGUGUCAUGAAACCUCACCCCACUUGGGUUUUUGCCUGAGUGGUUGGUGGAUUGGGCGUCUGCCAUCACUGGCUCGCCUGAAAAGCAUAAGCGCCCUUGGAUGUAAUACGUUUCAUCCUCUUGGGUGGCUGAUAACCCCACAUAUCUCAUGAUCUGGCCUCAAAUCAGGUAGGGCUACCCGCUGAACUUAAGCAUAUCAA
rnacentral:rRNA from 1 species